rnacentral:rRNA from 1 species
AGAGUUUGAUCCUGGCUCAGGAUGAACGCUGGCGGCGUGCUUAACACAUGCAAGUCGAACGAUGAAGCCCAGCUUGCUGGGUGGAUUAGUGGCGAACGGGUGAGUAACACGUGAGUAACCUGCCCCUGACUCUGGGAUAAGCCCGGGAAACUGGGUCUAAUACCGGAUAUGACCAUGGGACGCAUGUCUUGUGGUGGAAAGAUUUAUCGGUUGGGGAUGGACUCGCGGCCUAUCAGCUUGUUGGUGAGGUAAUGGCUCACCAAGGCGACGACGGGUAGCCGGCCUGAGAGGGUGACCGGCCACACUGGGACUGAGACACGGCCCAGACUCCUACGGGAGGCAGC